GCCGAAAGUCCAAGGGUUCCUGCGUAAAGCUAAUCUGCGCAGGGUUAGCCGGCCCCUAAGGUGAGGCCGAAAGGCGUAAUCGAUGGGAACCAGGUAAAUAUUCCUGGGCCAGUUGGAAGUGACGGAUCCUGUGUAUCGUCGGGGCUUAUUGGAUUGCUCCCGGCGGUGAAGGGGUCCCUGGAAAUAACUCCAACAGAGACCGUACCCGAAACCGACACAGGUGGACUGGUAGAGCAUACCAAGGCGCUUGAGAGAACUAUGCUGAAGGAACUCGGCAAAUUGCACGCGUAACUUCGGGAUAAGC
rnacentral:rRNA from 1 species